rnacentral:misc_RNA from 1 species
CCGAGUUGCAAAACUCCUAAACCAUUGUGAACGUUACCUAAACCGUUGCUUCGGCGGGAAGACGGCCCCUGGUUAACCCCGGGCGCCCUCGGCCCAUCGCGGCGCCCCCUAGGUCUCCAGCUCUUUAUACUUAUGCUCUCUCUGAGUCUCUUACAAUGAAAUAAUUCA